CAUAGGUUUGGUCCCAGCCUUCCUGUUAACUCUCAACAGACUUACACAUGCAAGCAUCCACGCCCCGGUGAGUAACGCCCUCCAAAUCAAUAAGACUAAGAGGAGCAGGUAUCAAGCACACAUCUUGUAGCUUAUAACGCCUCGCUUAACCACACCCCUACGGGAGACAGCAGUGACAAAAAUUAAGCCAUAAACGAAAGUUUGACUAAGCCAUGUUGACCAGGGUUGGUAAAUCUCGUGCCAGCCACCGCGGUCAUACGAUUAACCCAAGCUAACAGGAAUACGGCGUAAAACGUGUUAAAGCACUACAUCAAAUAGAGUUAAAUUCUAAUUAAACUGUAAAAAGCCAUAAUUACAACAAAAAUAGAUGACGAAAGUAACCCUACUGCAGCUGAUACACUAUAGCUAAGACCCAAACUGGGAUUAGAUACCCCACUAUGCUUAGCCCUAAACACAAAUAAUUACAGAAACAAAAUUAUUCGCCAGAGUACUACCGGCAACAGCCCGAAACUCAAAGGACUUGGCGGUGCUUUAUACCCUUCUAGAGGAGCCUGUUCUAUAAUCGAUAA
ensembl:Mt_rRNA